AUUGAACGCUGGCGGCAGGCCUAACACAUGCAAGUCGAACGAGUGGCGGACGGGUGAGUAAUGUCUGGGAAACUGCCUGAUGGAGGGGGAUAACUACUGGAAACGGUAGCUAAUACCGCAUACCAUCAGAUGUGCCCAGAUGGUAUUCUCGAUUUGGUGGGGUAACGGCUCACCAAGGCGACGAUCCCUAGCUGGUCUGAGAGGAUGACCAGCCACACUGGAACUGAGACACGGUCCAGACUCCUACGGGAGGCAGCAGUGGGGAAUAUUGCACAAUGGGCGCAAGCCUGAUGCAGCCAUGCCGCGUGUAUGAAGAAGGCCUUCGGGUUGUAAAGUACUUUCAGCGGGGAGGCGGGAGCAGAAGAAGAAGCACCGGCUAACUCCGUGCCAGCAGCCGCGGUAAUUG
rnacentral:rRNA from 1 species